rnacentral:rRNA from 1 species
ACGUAGGGUGCGAGCGUUAAUCGGAAUUACUGGGCGUAAAGCGUGCGCAGGCGGUUCGUUAAGUCUGAUGUGAAAGCCCCGGGCUCAACCUGGGAAUGGCAUUGGAUACUGGGGGACUUGAGUGCAGAAGAGGGGGGUGGAAUUCCAUGUGUAGCGGUGAAAUGCGUAGAUAUGUGGAGGAACACCGAUGGCGAAGGCGGCCCUCUGGUCUGAAACUGACGCUGAGGCUCGAAAGCGUGGGGAGCAAACAG